GAUGAACGCUGGCGGCGUGCCUAAUACAUGCAAGUCGAGCGAACAGACGAGGAGCUUGCUCCUCUGACGUUAGCGGCGGACGGGUGAGUAACACGUGGAUAACCUACCUAUAAGACUGGGAUAACUUCGGGAAACCGGAGCUAUACCGGAUAAUUAAUUUAAACGCCAGGUUUUAUAGUUAAAGGCGGUUUUUGUUUCAAUUAUAGACUGGUCCGGGGCGCAUUAGCUAGUUGGUUAGGUAACGGCUUACCAAGGCAACGAAGCGUAGCCGACCUGAGAGGGUGAUCGGCCACACUGGAACUGAGACACGGUCCAGACUCCUACGGGAGGCAGCAGUAGGGAAUCUUCCGCAAUGGGCGAAAGCCUGACGGAGCAACGCCGCGUGAGUGAUGAAGGUCUUCGGAUCGUAAAACUCUGUUAUUAGGGAAGAACAAAUGUGUAAGUAACUAUGCACGUCUUGACGGUACCUAAUCAGAAAGCCACGGCUAACUACGUG
rnacentral:rRNA from 1 species